UACGAAGGGGGCUAGCGUUGCUCGGAAUCACUGGGCGUAAAGGGUGCGUAGGCGGCGGGGUAAGUCAGGUGUGAAAUCCUGGAGCUCAACUCCAGAACUGCCUUCGAUACUGGCAAUCUCGAGUCCGGAAGAGGUUGGUGGAACAGCUAGUGUAGAGGUGAAAUUCGUAGAUAUUAGCUAGAACACCAGUGGCGAAGGCGGCCAACUGGUCCGGUACUGACGCUGAGGUGCGAAAGCGUGGGGAGCAAACAGG
rnacentral:rRNA from 1 species